AUGCACGCUGGCGGCGUGCCUCAUCCAUGCAAGUCGCGCGAACGGACGAGAAGCUUGCUUCUCUGAUGUUAGCGGCGGACGGGUGAGUAACACGUGGAUAACCUACCUAUAAGACUGGGAUAACUUCGGGAAACCGGAGCUAAUACCGGAUAAUAUUUUGAACCGCAUGGUUCAAAAGUGAAAGACGGUCUUGCUGUCACUUAUAGAUGGAUCCGCGCUGCAUUAGCUAGUUGGUAAGGUAACGGCUUACCAAGGCAACGAUGCAUAGCCGACCUGAGAGGGUGAUCGGCCACACUGGAACUGAGACACGGUCCAGACUCCUACGGGAGGCAGCAGUAGGGAAUCUUCCGCAAUGGGCGAAAGCCUGACGGAGCAACGCCGCGUGAGUGAUGAAGGUCUUCGGAUCGUAAAACUCUGUUAUUAGGGAAGAACAUAUGUGUAAGUAACUGUGCACAUCUUGACGGUACCUAAUCAGAAAGCCACGGCUAACUACGUG
rnacentral:rRNA from 1 species